AUACGGCUCAGUAACACGUAGUCAACAUGCCCAGGGGACGUGGAUAACCUCGGGAAACUGAGGAUAAACCGCGAUAGGUCACUACUUCUGGAAUGGGUAAUGACCCAAACCUAUAUGGCCCCUGGAUUGGACUGCGGCCGAUCAGGCUGUUGGUGAGGUAAUGGCCCACCAAACCUGUAACCGGUACGGGCUCUGAGAGGAGGAGCCCGGAGAUGGGCACUGAGACAAGGGCCCAGGCCCUAUGGGGCGCAGCAGGCGCGAAACCUCUGCAAUAGGCGAAAGCUUGACAGGGUUACUCUGAGUGAUUUCCGUUAAGGAGAUCUUUUGGCACCUCUAAAAAUGGUGCAGAAUAAGGGGUGGGCAAGUCUGGUGUCAGCCGCCGCGGUAAUACCAGCACCCCGAGUGGUCGGGACGUUUAUUGGGCCUAAAGCAUCCGUAGCCGGUUCUACAAGUCUUCCGUUAAAUCCACCUGCUCAACAGAUGGGCUGCGGAAGAUACUAUGGAGCUAGGAGGCGGGAGAGGCAAGCGGUACUCGAUGGGUAGGGGUAAAAUCCGUUGAUCCAUUGAAGACCACCAGUGGCGAAGGCGGCUUGCCAGAACGCGCUCGACGGUGAGGGAUGAAAGCUGGGGGAGCAAACCGGAUUAGAUACCCGGGUAGUCCCAGCUGUAAACGA
rnacentral:rRNA from 1 species